AUUGAACGCUGGCGGCAGGCCUAACACAUGCAAGUCGAGCGCGAAAUUUCCUUCGGGAAUGAGUAGAGCGGCGGACGGGUGAGGAACGCGUAGGAAUCUACCUAGUAGUGGGGGACAACAAUCGGAAACGGUUGCUAAUACCGCAUAAGCCCUAAGGGGGAAAGCAGGGGAUCUUCGGACCUUGCGCUAUUGGAUGAGCCUGCGUCGGAUUAGCUAGUUGGUGGGGUAAUAGCCUACCAAGGCAACGAUCCGUAGCUGGUCUGAGAGGAUGAUCAGCCACACUGGGACUGAGACACGGCCCAGACUCCUACGGGAGGCAGCAGUGGGGAAUAUUGGACAAUGGGCGCAAGCCUGAUCCAGCCAUGCCGCGUGUGUGAAGAAGGCUCUAGGGUUGUAAAGCACUUUCAGUAGGGAGGAAAAGUUAGUAGUUAAUAACUGCUAACCCUGACGUUACCUACAGAAGAAGCACCGGCAAACUCCGUGCCAGCAGCCGCGGUAAUACGGAGGGUGCGAGCGUUAAUCGGAAUUACUGGGCGUAAAGCGCGCGUAGGCGGUUUGAUAAGCUGGAUGUGAAAGCCCUGGGCUCAACCUGGGAAUUGCAUCCAGAACUGUCUGACUAGAGUACAGUAGAGGUGAGUGGAAUUUCCUGUGUAGCGGUGAAAUGCGUAGAUAUAGGAAGGAACAUCAGUGGCGAAGGCGACUCACUGGACUGAUACUG
rnacentral:rRNA from 2 species